GGAAGAAGAAGACCCAGCCUGAUGGAAUUAUCCUCCCAGACUUCCCAAGCCAUUAUCCCAGACAAUGAAGCCAUGAAAGGGAUCUCUGCUGCAAAUUUUUCAAGCCUCCUUACUCC